rnacentral:rRNA from 1 species
CCAGACUCCUACGGGAGGCAGCAGUGAGGAAUAUUGGUCAGUGGGCGGGAGCCUGAACCAGCCAAGCCGCGUGAAGGAAGAAGGCGCCAGGCGUCGUAAACUUCUUUUGCCGGGGAGCAACGGGCGUCACGUGUGGCGCCACUGAGAGUACCCGGAGAAAAAGCAUCGGCUAACUCCGUGCCAGCAGCCGCGGUAAUACGGAGGAUGCGAGCGUUAUCCGGAUUUAUUGGGUUUAAAGGGUGCGUAGGCGGAUCGUUAGGUCAGGGGGAAAAUUGGGGGGCUCAACCCCUCCCCGCCAUUGAAACUGGCGCUCUUGAGUGGAAGAGAAGUAUGCGGAAUGCGUGGUGUAGCGGUGAAAUGCAUAGAUAUCACGCAGAACCCCGAUUGCGAAGGCAGCAUGCCGGCUUCCGACUGACGCUGAAGCACGAAAGCGUGGGGAUCGAGCAGGAUUAGAUACCCCUGUACGU